rnacentral:rRNA from 1 species
AUUGAACGCUGGCGGCAUGCCUUACACAUGCAAGUCGAACGGUAACGGGCCUUCGGGUGCCGACGAGUGGCGAACGGGUGAGUAAUACAUCGGAACGUGCCCGAUCGUGGGGGAUAACGAGGCGAAAGCUUUGCUAAUACCGCAUACGAUCUACGGAUGAAAGCAGGGGACCGCAAGGCCUUGCGCGGGCGGAGCGGCCGAUGGCAGAUUAGGUAGUUGGUGGGAUAAAAGCUUACCAAGCCGACGAUCUGUAGCUGGUCUGAGAGGAUGAUCAGCAACACUGGGACUGAGACACGGCCCAGACUCCUACGGGAGGCAGCAGUGGGGAAUUUUGGACAAUGGGCGCAAGCCUGAUCCAGCCAUGCCGCGUGCAGGAUGAAGGCCUUCGGGUUGUAAACUGCUUUUGUACGGAACGAAAAGCCUUCUUUUAAUACAGGAGGGUCAUGACGGUACCGUAAGAAUAAGCACCGGCUAACUACGUG